rnacentral:rRNA from 1 species
GACGGAGGGUGCUAGCGUUGUUCGGAAUUACUGGGCGUAAAGGGCUCGUAGGCGGCCAACUAAGUCGGAUGUGAAAUCCCCAAGCUUAACUUGGGAACUGCAUCCGAUACUGGAUGGCUUGAAUCCGGGAGAGGGAUGCAGAAUUCCAGGUGUAGCGGUGAAAUGCGUAGAUAUCUGGAGGAAUACCGGUGGCGAAGGCGGCAUCCUGGACCGGCAUUGACGCUGAGGAGCGAAAGCUAGGGGAGCAAACGGG